GAUGAACGCUGGCGGCGUGCCUAAUACAUGCAAGUCGAACGAAACUUCUUUAUCACCGAGUGCUUGCACUCACCGAUAAAGAGUUGAGUGGCGAACGGGUGAGUAACACGUGGGCAACCUGCCCAAAAGAGGGGGAUAACACUUGGAAACAGGUGCUAAUACCGCAUAACCAUAGUUACCGCAUGGUAACUAUGUAAAAGGUGGCUAUACUACCGCUUUUGGAUGGGCCCGCGGCGCAUUAGCUAGUUGGUAGGGUAAAGGCUUACAAAGGCAAUGAUGCGUAGCCGAAUUGAGAGGUUGAUCGGCCACAUUGGGACUGAGACACGGCCCAAACUCCUACGGGAGGCAGCAGUAGGGAAUCUUCCACAAUGGGCGAAAGCCUGAUGGAGCAACGCCGCGUGGGUGAAGAAGGUCUUCGGAUCGUAAAACCCUGUUGUUAGAGAAGAAAGUGCGUGAGAGUAACUGUUCACGUUUCGACGGUAUCUAACCAGAAAGCCACGGCUAACUACGUG
rnacentral:rRNA from 1 species